rnacentral:rRNA from 1 species
UACAGAGGGGGGCAAGCGUUUGUUCGGAAUUACUGGGCGUAAAGGGCGCGUAGGCGGUUUGACAAGUCUGAUGUGAAAUCUCUGGGCUCAACCCAGAGUCUGCAUUAGAAACUGUCGGGCUUGAGUAUGGGAGAGGUGAGUGGAAUUUCCGGUGUAGCGGUGAAAUGCGUAGAUAUCGGAAGGAACACCUGUGGCGAAAGCGGCUCACUGGACCAUAACUGACGCUGAGGCGCGAAAGCUAGGGGAGCAAACAGG